rnacentral:rRNA from 1 species
UUUCCGUAGGUGAACCUGCAGAAGGAUCAUUG